CCCUACGGGAGGCAGCAGUGGGGAAUAUUGGACAAUGGGGGGAACCCUGAUCCAGCGACGCCGCGUGAGUGAAGAAGUAUUUCGGUAUGUAAAGCUCUAUCAGCAGGGAAGAAAGAAAUGACGGUACCUGACUAAGAAGCCCCGGCUAACUACGUGCCAGCAGCCGCGGUAAUACGUAGGGGGCAAGCGUUAUCCGGAUUCACUGGGUGUAAAGGGAGCGUAGACGGCGACGCAAGUCUGGAGUGAAAGCCCGGGGCCCAACCCCGGGACUGCUCUGGAAACUGCGUCGCUGGAGUACGGGAGGG
rnacentral:rRNA from 1 species